AUUGAACGCUGGCGGCAUGCCUUACACAUGCAAGUCGAACGGUAACGCGGGGCAACCUGGCGACGAGUGGCGAACGGGUGAGUAAAGUAUCGGGACGUGCCCAGUAGUGUGGGAUAGCCCGGCGAAAGCCGGAUUAAUACCGCAUGAGACCUGAGGGUGAAAGCGGGGGAUCGCAAGACCUCGUGCUAUUGGAGCGGCCGAUAUCAGAUUAGGUAGUUGGUGGGGUAAAGGCCUACCAAGCCGACGAUCUGUAGCUGGUCUGAGAGGACGACCAGCCACACUGGGACUGAGACACGGCCCAGACUCCGACGGGAGGCAGCAGUGGGGAAGAUUGGACAAUGGGGGAAACCCUGAUCCAGCGACGCCGCGUGGGUGAAGAAGGCCUGCGGGUUGUAAAGCCCUUUCGGUAGGGAAGAAAUCUCUUGCUCUAACAAAGCAGGAGUUUGACUUAACCUACAUAAGAAGCACCGGCUAACUACGUGCCAGCAGCCGCGGUAAGAC
rnacentral:rRNA from 1 species